GGUCGUGGCUCAGUGGCAGAGCACUUGACUAGCAUGCAUGAGGCACUGGGCUCGAUCCCCAGCACCA
rnacentral:tRNA from 1 species